rnacentral:rRNA from 1 species
AGGACCGAACCCACAUCUGUUGAAAAAGAUCGGGAUGAGCUGUGCCUAGGGGUGAAAGGCCAAUCAAACUCGGAGAUAGCUGGUUCUCUGCGAAAUCUAUUUAGGUAGAGCGUCAUCCGAAUACCCUCGGGGGUAGAGCACUGGAUGGGUAAUGGGGCCCCACAGGCUUACUGAUCCUAACCAAACUCCGAAUACCGAGGAGUACUGGAUGGCAGACACACGGCGAAUGCUAACGUCCGUCGUGGAGAGGGAAACAACCCUGACCUCCGGCUAAGGCCCCUAAUUCAUGGCUAAGUGGGAAAGCAGGUGAGACGACCAAAACAACCAGGAGGUUGGCUUAGAAGCAGCCAUCCUUUAAAGAUAGCGUAACAGCUCACUGGUCUAAAUAAGUUGUCUUGCGGCGAAGAUGUAACGGGGCUCAAGCCAUGAGCCGAAGCCGAGGAUGCAUUUAUUGCAUGGUAGCAGAGCGUAGUGUGACAUAGUUCCAUGUGUCCUUAUCGUCCCUCGGGACGUAUUGGACACAAGGAGCUUUCUGUGAAGCCGGCGCGUGAGCGAUCCGGUGGAGAGAUCACUAGUGAGAAUGAUGACAUGAGUAGCGACAAAGAGUGUGAGAGACACUCUCGCCGAAAGUCCAAGGGUUCCUGCUUAAAGCUAAUCUGAGCAGGGUAAGCCGACCCCUAAGGCGAGGCCGAAAGGCGUAGUCGAUGGGAACCAGGUUAAUAUUCCUGGGCCAGAUGGAAGUGACGGAUCGCAGGGGUAGUUCAUCCUUAUCGGAUUGGAUGGGCUGCUGAGCGGUCCCUGGAAAUAGCUCCAUCAUCAGAUCGUACCCUAAACCGACACAGGUGGACAGGUAGAGAAUACCAAGGCGCUUGAGAGAACUAUGUUGAAGGAACUCGGCAAAAUACCUCCGUAAGUUCGCGAGAAGGAGGCCCGGUUCCUAGGCAACUAGGGGCUGGGGGCACAAACCAGGGGGUGGCGACUGUUUAUUAAAAACACAGGGCUCUGC